AUCAGCUGAAUGCCCCAUCCCUGGAGGCAUUCAAGGCUAAGCUGGAUGUGGCUCUGGGCAGCCUGUUCUGGUUGUUGGCGACUCUGGAUAUAGCAGGGGUUUGAAACUAGAUGAUCAUUAUGGUCCUUCUCAAGCUAGGCCAUUCUACGAUCAAAUUGUUAACAAGAGAAAUGGCAUUCAGAAUUUUACUGUCCUAUUCUACAGCCUCAGGAAAUAUUACACUGUUUCUGCUAUUUUUUAGAGUGAGUUGCUUAGAGCAUCACUUUGUGUUCCUUCACUUUGUCCAGACAUCUGCAAUGAGAUCAAGGUAACAUGCGAGAAUUUCCCAUGCCUUUUUUGUAAUGGCUGAAAUCUCCUCUGCACUACAGGAGACGAUAGGACAACAGAGCAUUUUGAUCGUGGCAGGGUGCAAUCACUUUGCAAGUGUUUGCGUCACAUUUUGAUUAGUAGUGGCUUGCUCCAGAAGAUAUUCUAUCUCAUUUUAUACAUUUCCUUAUUCUUCUCUUAAUUUCUAAAUAGUACAAAUUAUUUUGCAGAAUACCAUACUGUAUGGAAAUUGUUGAGUCACGGCCCAAACCACUGAUUGAUCACCUGAGGCAAGGACUGAGUCAGCCCUGGGAUCACAGGUGAAGGCAAUUCACCUGCGUUAGAAGAAGGGGUGGUGCCUGGCUGCACCUCCCAUUUAAGGGAUGACUGCCAGCGGGGAAGGUUCUCUUUCUGGAGAUUCCUUCUCUGUGGAGUCUUGCUAAUCUAGAUCUUUGGAUGCAGAUGUGCUCAUAAAGCUCUGAAAACUGCACUGGAUUUGGCCUGGUAGAUGAGGUGGUAUCCAAGCAAGAUACAAAUUAUUCCAGAAAAAGAGGACAACCAACGACAGUGGAUAGCAAUAGAUCAAUAGUGACAGAGCUGCUUCUUAUCCCACUGUGGACAGGAAGGGUCUUGAACAAAAGCACCUU